AGUCGAGCGGAAGGCCCUUCGGGGGACACGAGCGGCGAACGGGUGAGUAACACGUGGGUGAUCUGCCUCGCACUUCGGGAUAAGGCUGGGAAACUGGGUCUAAUACCGGAUAUGACCUCUUGUCUGAUGGCUUGGGGUGGAAAGAUUUAUCGGUGCGAGAUGGGCCCGCGGCCUAUCAGCUUGUUGGUGGGGUAAUGGCCUACCAAGGCGACGACGGGUAGCCGGCCUGAGAGGGCGACCGGCCACACUGGGACUGAGACACGGCCCAGACUCCUACGGGAGGCAGCAGUGGGGAAUAUUGCACAAUGGGCGGAAGCCUGAUGCAGCGACGCCGCGUGAGGGAUGACGGCCUUCGGGUUGUAAACCUCUUUCGACUCCGACGAAGCGAGAGUGACGGUAGGGGUAGAAGAAGCACCGGCCAACUACGUGCCAGCAGCCGCGGUAAUACGUAGGGUGCGAGCGUUGUCCGGAAUUACUGGGCGUAAAGAGCUUGUAGGCGGUUUGUCGCGUCGUCUGUGAAAACUCACAGCUCAACUGUGAGCUUGCAGGCGAUACGGGCAGACUUGAGUACUGCAGGGGAGACUGGAAUUCCUGGUG
rnacentral:rRNA from 1 species